CAAUAGCGUAUAUUAAAGCUGUUGCGGUUAAAAAGCUCGUAGUUGGAUUUCUGUCAAGGACAACUGGUCCGCCCUCCGGGUGAGCACAUAGUUUGGUCUUGACAUCUUGCUGGAGGCUGUUGCUGCACUUGGCUGUGUGGCGCAGUGUUCAGCACUUUCACUUUGAGGAAAUUGGAGUGUUUCAAGCAGGCACAUGCCUUUGGACACAGUAGCAUGGAAUAAUUAGAUUGGGCUUUUGCUCCAAUUUGUCGGUUUCUGGAGCUGAGGUGAGUAUUAAUGGGGAUUGUUGGGGGCAUCCGAAUUUAGCCGUCAGAGGUGAAAUUCUUGGAUCUGCUAAAGACGGACAACUGCGAAAGCGUUUGCCCAGGAUGUUUUCAUUGA
rnacentral:rRNA from 1 species